UUCCCUAACCGCUCAGCCAUCUGACCCCUACAUUUAAAGCAGGAGCGUAGCCACGAAAAUAUUUUUUGUUAGACCUAAAAAAAUACGGAUAGGCAUCUUUUCAGGGUUUUUUUACUCAUUUACUUUGCGAUGUGACAUCAUUUUUCGGAGAUACUUUCAUUUUUGGGUAGGCCUUAGAACAAAUUGGGUAGGCCUGUGCCUACCCGUGGCUACGCCCCUGAUACACAGUACAUGCAAUAUCAAUGGAUAGUCUAUCUCACAGACCUUACUAAAAGAGAAUUCCAAAUGAUUGACAAGUGUCUGGCAUCGCUGUCUCUCUGGUCACUGCAGAGAGACAGAGAGGAGUGAUUAAGGACAAUCCUUCUCUCCUCGCAGGCAUUCAUCUGGAGUUUCAGACCAGCACCGCUGAGGGGGGGGGGGGUCGGGGAGGAGACCAGCUCAAAAGGAUCUCAGCAAUCUGUUUCAAAACGUUCCUUCCUUGACAUCAAUCCCUACAUGCAUGGAUAUGCACACACCAGGAAGGAGGUGUUGAUGUGUGUGGUCUCGGAUAAGGAAGAAGCUGCAAAAAGGCAGAGUUGACAGGAUAUGAUGCUCUGUGGCCAGGGUUGACAUUAUGUCUGCAAGCCAUAAGUUCCCUGU